UACGUAGGGCGCAAGCGUUGUCCGGAAUUAUUGGGCGUAAAGAGCUCGUAGGCGGUCUGUUGCGUCCGCUGUGAAAACUCGGGGCUUAACCCCGAGCCUGCAGUGGAUACGGGCAGACUAGAGGUAGGUAGGGGAGAAUGGAAUUCCCGGUGUAGCGGUGAAAUGCGCAGAUAUCGGGAGGAACACCGGUGGCGAAGGCGGUUCUCUGGGCCUGUACUGACGCUGAGGAACGAAAGCGUGGGGAGCGAACAGG
rnacentral:rRNA from 1 species